CAAGUACUUUGAACUUCACGUUGAUGUUUGAAUGUAUUGAAUUGCUUGUUGUGAUGUAAAAAUGUGCAUGACCAUUGUGUAUUUGAGCUAAAGGAUGGCCAUAUGACCAUUUACACUCCUUGUCAUAUUCGGCCAUAAGCUAUCAUGAUGAGAUUUUAAUAAGUUAAAUUUGUGUGAAUUAGCUCAAGAGCAAAGGGGAGCUAAAUCCGAUAAAGGGAAGGAAAAAGUAGUUGAAUAGCCGUCGAAAUCGCUCGACAACAUCCAAGGUUUCGCUCGUUAGCUGUCGGAUUCGGGAUCAAAGAAGUCGAAGUCAUCCACACUAUCGAAGCCCCAUUUUGGUACAAAUUUUGGUUGAACUUUGAAAUGGCAUGUAUAGGACCAUCCUUUGUUGAAGGUCAUGUACCUUCCGGUUUGUGUAAACUUAGAUAGCCAUGCGAAAAUGGCUUAUAUACGUUUUUAGCAUAGAACUAUAAUCGUUUGUAUGUUGACCCUUAUGAGGUAUGGAAUUAUUUUGAAACGAUUAGCCAUUGGAAUGGUUAAUCAUGAUCA